ACGUCGUUGAGGGUACAACAGCAUAUUUAUACUGUGUGAAUAUUGCUGGUUCAACUCCAGUGACGUA
rnacentral:tRNA from 1 species